rnacentral:misc_RNA from 1 species
CAGUCGUAACAAGGGAACCUGCGGAAGGCAUUAACACCAAACGGCGAACCCCCUCCCCCGUGAGAGUUAUCCUGCUCUUGUAACCCGCGAGGCUUGCAAUCUCUGGUAAAUCAUGGCCGGGAAAGUAGUUUUGUUCAGAGACCUCUGGCCCGCGUUUUUUGAGCGGUAGUUCUAAAGGCCUUCCCAAGCAGUCAGUGUCUGAAAGUGUCAUUGAUUGUGCAAGAAUAAUAACGCUUUAAGAUUCUUGUAGACCGCAUCUCGCGGGCAGGAGCUAGGCCAAAGGGUCCCCAUGCCCCCUGACAACCCCACAGUUUAAUGUGAAGCUCAAUGUAAUACAUUGGAUCAAAAACCCGAACAACUGUUAACAAUAGAUAUC